GACGAACGCUGGCGGCGUGCUUAACACAUGCAAGUCGAACGAAGUGGCGAACGGGUGAGUAACGCGUAAUCAACCUGCCCUUCCGAGGGGGACAACAGUUGGACACGACUGCUAAUCACGCAUAAUGAAGGUGGGGAUUGCGUUGGAUUAGCUAGUUGUAGGGGUAAAGGCCAACAAGGGCGAGGAUCGGGAGCCGGCCUGAGAGGAGGAACGGCUACAUGGGGACGGAGAGACGGCCCAGAAUCCUACGGGAGGGAGCCGUUGGAAAUCUGUCGCAAUGGACGAAAGUCUGACGGAGCAACGAUGCGUGAGUGAUGACGGCCGUCGGGUUGUAAGGCUCUGUUAAUCGGGACGCGGUACCGGAAUAGAAAGCCACGGCUAACUACGUGCCAGCAGCCGCGGUAAUAC
rnacentral:rRNA from 1 species